rnacentral:rRNA from 1 species
AAAGAGGGGCCCGCGUCCGAUUAGGUAGUUGGUGGGGUAAUGGCCCACCAAGCCUAUGAUCGGUAGCUGGUCUGAGAGGAUGAUCAGCCACACUGGGACUGAGACACGGCCCAGACUCCUACGGGAGGCAGCAGUGGGGAAUAUUGGACAAUGGGGGCAAGCCUGAUCCAGCAAUGCCGCGUGAGUGAUGAAGGCCUUAGGGUUGUAAACCUCUUUCGCACGGGACGAUGAUUGACGGUACCGGUAGAAGAAGCACC